GAGAGACAGAAGGUGGAGGAGCGAGGAUGGAAGUGGACUCCUGUGGGAGCAGUGACACCCUCCAAGGGCCUCUGUUCCUUCUGGAAAAUACAAGUCGACUGUUGAUGGAGGACUGUACCACAUGGCCUUUAAAACGGAUAUAAAGUGGCAUCAUAAGGGUCUACAGCGACAGCACGGAUAGGGGGUCUGUUUCUGUCUUUGGUUAUCUAGCUGUAUGAGUAUGAAAUACCUGUCAUAAAGCUAGAUAACCGAAUGUAGGAAUGACUUCCAUGACGUUUAAGGGGGAGAAACAAAUGUACUCUGGAAUCAAAGAUUUUCAAUUAGCGCCAUUCUUGCUGAAAAGAUGCUAGAAGCAAUUGGAGAGAAAAACCAGGAUGGGGUCGCAACAGCAAUGGGAUGCCAUCUGCACCGCUAGCGAGAGACGGCGUGCCCAUGCCAGGAGGUACACAAAGGCCUUGGCUGAUCCUCGCUCGGAUUCUGGAGGCGCUCGGAGGAGCCAUCUUGGGAGAUGUUGCCAUGAUAUCUAAAAUGGCUGGGCUGACAUACAAGGAUGGAGAUGACAAGCUUCAAACUGCACACCAAACUCAUCCAAAAGUCAUCACGCAAAUCAUUGUUGUCUUUUUGUUUUGUUUUUUUUAAGUAAUAACCCAGUAGACCAGCUUUAUUUGUUCUAAAUUGUCAAAGUGUUAUUUGACAUUUUAAUACACUUCCUUAUGUGAAAUGUGUUUAUUAUGAAAUCUGCAAAUAAAAAGCUUCCUGACAUAAAGUUUUGUGAUUUUUCAUAGUUUUGUUUAAAAAGAUAUAUAUAAAUGUUGUUAUUGGAGAUAAAGCAUUGUUUACUUUGGACAUUUCUAUUUUAGCAAUAAGAAACACAUCAACACGCUCAUCCUGUCGUCGUAUAAAACGCAUCGAACAUUAUUCAUAUAUUUUAUUAGCUAAUAUUGAAAAGAUGUGGAAAAUUUGUAAAAAUGAUCAGCAAAAAAAGGCCGCGGGUGAAAGCCUGCACUUUGUUUCCUUGGCUGAAGAUGUGCGCGAGGGGCUUUGAGUUAAAAAAAAAAAACAACGCACAUUUGGGGGGUAAAAUGUUUUAAUUCGACGAUUGAAUGAAGUCGUGAAUCAUGUCUGCAGGCCAGACAGGAUCCCGUUUAGAAAGAACGCCCUCACGUUUUCAAAGUAGCCAUAAACGAUGCGUUUCAUUUACACAAAAACACUGCAAGGCCCAAAUAUAUCAGACGCAAUUGUGACGAAGGAGC